UACAGAGGUCCCGAGCGUUGUUCGGAUUCACUGGGCGUAAAGGGUGCGUAGGUGGUGAGGCAAGUCGGAUGUGAAAUCUCCGGGCUUAACCCGGAAACUGCAUUGGAAACUACCUUGCUAGAGGUUUUGAGGGGGGACUGGAAUUCUCGGUGUAGCAGUGAAAUGCGUAGAUAUCGAGAGGAACACCAGUGGCGAAGGCGGAUCUCUGGGCCAUAACUGACGCUGAGGAGCGAAAGCAUGGGGAGCGAACAGG
rnacentral:rRNA from 1 species